AGAGGUGGCAAGCGUUGUUCGGAAUUACUGGGCGUAAAGGGCGCGUAGGCGGUCCGAUAAGUCCCACGUGAAAUCCCCCGGCUCAACUGGGGAACUGCGCGGGAAACUGACGGACUUGAGUUCGGGAGAGGGAAGCGGAAUUCCGGGUGUAGCGGUGAAAUGCGUAGAUAUCCGGAGGAACACCGGUGGCGAAGGCGGCUUCCUGGACCGACACUGACGCUGAGGCGCGAAAGCUAGGGGAGCAAACGGGAUUAGAUACCCCGGUAGUCCUAGCUGUAAACGAUGAGUGCUGGGUGUAGGGGGUGUUAACCCCUCCUGUGCCGAAGCUAACGCAUUAAGCACUCCGCCUGGGGAGUACGGUCGCAAGGCUG
rnacentral:rRNA from 1 species